GGGGACGUAGUUCAGAUGGAUAGAACGCGAGCUUGUCACGCUCGAGGUCGCGGGUUCGAGUCCCGUCGUCCCCGCCA
rnacentral:tRNA from 1 species